rnacentral:rRNA from 1 species
AAAUGCACAUGCUGUGAGCUCGAUGAGUAGGGCGGGACACGUGGUAUCCUGUCUGAAUAUGGGGGGACCAUCCUCCAAGGCUAAAUACUCCUGACUGACCGAUAGUGAACCAGUACCGUGAGGGAAAGGCGAAAAGAACCCCGGCGAGGGGAGUGAAAAAGAACCUGAAACCGUGUACGUACAAGCAGUGGGAGCACGCUUAGGCGUGUGACUGCGUACCUUUUGUAUAAUGGGUCAGCGACUUAUAUUCUGUAGCAAGGUUAACCGAAUAGGGGAGCCGAAGGGAAACCGAGUCUUAACUGGGCGUUAAGUUGCAGGGUAUAGACCCGAAACCCGGUGAUCUAGCCAUGGGCAGGUUGAAGGUUGGGUAACACUAACUGGAGGACCGAACCGACUAAUGUUGAAAAAUUAGCGGAUGACUUGUGGCUGGGGGUGAAAGGCCAAUCAAACCGGGAGAUAGCUGGUUCUCCCCGAAAGCUAUUUAGGUAGCGCCUCGUGAAUUCAUCUCCGGGGGUAGAGCACUGUUUCGGCAAGGGGGUCAUCCCGACUUACCAACCCGAUGCAAACUGCGAAUACCGGAGAAUGUUAUCACGGGAGACACACGGCGGGUGCUAACGUCCGUCGUGAAGAGGGAAACAACCCAGACCGCCAGCUAAGGUCCCAAAGUCAUGGUUAAGUGGGAAACGAUGUGGGAAGGCCCAGACAGCCAGGAUGUUGGCUUAGAAGCAGCCAUCAUUUAAAGAAAGCGUAAUAGCUCACUGGUCGAGUCGGCCUGCGCGGAAGAUGUAACGGGGCUAAACCAUGCACCGAAGCUGCGGCAGCGACGCUGAUGCGUUGUUGGGUAGGGGAGCGUUCUGUAAGCCUGUGAAGGUGUGCUGUGAGGCAUGCUGGAGGUAUCAGAAGUGCGAAUGCUGACAUAAGUAACGAUAAAGCGGGUGAAAAGCCCGCUCGCCGGAAGACCAAGGGUUCCUGUCCAACGUUAAUCGGGGCAGGGUGAGUCGACCCCUAAGGCGAGGCCGAAAGGCGUAGUCGAUGGGAAACAGGUUAAUAUUCCUGUACUUGGUGUUACUGCGAAGGGGGGACGGAGAAGGCUAUGUUGGCCGGGCGACGGUUGUCCCGGUUUAAGCGUGUAGGCUGGUUUUCCAGGCAAAUCCGGAAAAUCAAGGCUGAGGCGUGAUGACGAGGCACUACGGUGCUGAAGCAACAAAUGCCCUGCUUCCAGGAAAAGCCUCUAAGCAUCAGGUAACAUCAAAUCGUACCCCAAACCGACACAGGUGGUCAGGUAGAGAAUACCAAGGCGCUUGAGAGAACUCGGGUGAAGGAACUAGGCAAAAUGGUGCCGUAACUUCGGGAGAAGGCACGCUGAUAUGUAGGUGAAGCGACUUGCUCGUGGAGCUGAAAUCAGUCGAAGAUACCAGCUGGCUGCAACUGUUUAUUAAAAACACAGCACUGUGCAAACACGAAAGUGGACGUAUACGGUGUGACGCCUGCCCGGUGCCGGAAGGUUAAUUGAUGGGGUCAGCGCAAGCGAAGCUCUUGAUCGAAGCCCCGGUAAACGGCGGCCGUAACUAUAACGGUCCUAAGGUAGCGAAAUUCCUUGUCGGGUAAGUUCCGACCUGCACGAAUGGCGUAAUGAUGGCCAGGCUGUCUCCACCCGAGACUCAGUGAAAUUGAACUCGCUGUGAAGAUGCAGUGUACCCGCGGCAAGACGGAAAGACCCCGUGAACCUUUACUAUAGCUUGACACUGAACAUUGAGCCUUGAUGUGUAGGAUAGGUGGGAGGCUUUGAAGUGUGGACGCCAGUCUGCAUGGAGCCGACCUUGAAAUACCACCCUUUAAUGUUUGAUGUUCUAACGUUGACCCGUAAUCCGGGUUGCGGACAGUGUCUGGUGGGUAGUUUGACUGGGGCGGUCUCCUCCUAAAGAGUAACGGAGGAGCACGAAGGUUGGCUAAUCCUGGUCGGACAUCAGGAGGUUAGUGCAAUGGCAUAAGCCAGCUUGACUGCGAGCGUGACGGCGCGAGCAGGUGCGAAAGCAGGUCAUAGUGAUCCGGUGGUUCUGAAUGGAAGGGCCAUCGCUCAACGGAUAAAAGGUACUCCGGGGAUAACAGGCUGAUACCGCCCAAGAGUUCAUAUCGACGGCGGUGUUUGGCACCUCGAUGUCGGCUCAUCACAUCCUGGGGCUGAAGUAGGUCCCAAGGGUAUGGCUGUUCGCCAUUUAAAGUGGUACGCGAGCUGGGUUUAGAACGUCGUGAGACAGUUCGGUCCCUAUCUGCCGUGGGCGCUGGAGAACUGAGGGGGGCUGCUCCUAGUACGAGAGGACCGGAGUGGACGCAUCACUGGUGUUCGGGUUGUCAUGCCAAUGGCACUGCCCGGUAGCUAAAUGCGGAAGAGAUAAGUGCUGAAAGCAUCUAAGCACGAAACUUGCCCCGAGAUGAGUUCUCCCUGACUCCUUGAGAGUCCUGAAGGAACGUUGAAGACGACGACGUUGAUAGGCCGGGUGUGUAAGCGCAGCGAUGCGUUGAGCUAACCGGUACUAAUGAACCGUGAG